rnacentral:rRNA from 1 species
UACAGAGGGUACAAGCGUUGUUCGGAAUUAUUGGGCGUAAAGCGCGUGUAGGCGGCUUUGCAAGUCGGGUGUGAAAGCCCUCAGCUCAACUGAGGAAGUGCGCCCGAAACUGCAGAGCUUGAGUACCGGAGAGGAUGGCGGAAUUCCCGAAGUAGAGGUGAAAUUCGUAGAUAUCAGGAGGAACACCGGUGGCGAAGGCGCUCAUCUGGCCCAAUACUGACGCUGAAGCGCGAAAGCUAGGGGAGCAAACGGG